rnacentral:rRNA from 1 species
AACGGAGAGUUUGAUCCUGGCUCAGGAUGAACGCUGGCGGCGUGCUUAACACAUGCAAGUCGAACGAACCUUCGGGUUAGUGGCGGACGGGUGAGUAACGCGUGGGAAUCUGCCCUCAGGAGGGGGAUAACGGUUGGAAACGGCCGCUAAUACCCCAUAUGCCGAGAGGUGAAAUGAAUUUCGCCUGAGGAUGAGCCCGCGUCUGAUUAGCUAGUUGGUGAGGUAAGAGCUCACCAAGGCAUCGAUCAGUAGCUGGUCUGAGAGGAUGAUCAGCCACACUGGGACUGAGACACGGCCCAGACUCCUACGGGAGGCAGCAGUGGGGAAUUUUCCGCAAUGGGCGAAAGCCUGACGGAGCAACGCCGCGUGAGGGAUGAAGGCCUCUGGGCUGUAAACCUCUUUUAUCAAGGAAGAAGAUCUGACGGUACUUGAUGAAUAAGCCACGGCUAAUUCCGUGCCAGCAGCCGCGGUAAUACGGGAGUGGCAAGCGUUAUCCGGAAUUAUUGGGCGUAAAGCGUCCGCAGGCGGCCCUACAAGUCUGCUGUUAAAAAGUGGAGCUUAACUCCAUCAUGGCAGUGGAAACUGUUGGGCUUGAGUGUGGUAGGGGCAGAGGGAAUUCCCGGUGUAGCGGUGAAAUGCGUAGAUAUCGGGAAGAACACCAGUGGCGAAGGCGCUCUGCUGGGCCAUCACUGACGCUCAUGGACGAAAGCCAGGGGAGCGAAAGGGAUUAGAUACCCCUGUAGUCCUGGCCGUAAACGAUGAACACUAGGUGUCGGGGGAAUCGACCCCUCCGGUGUCGUAGCCAACGCGUUAAGUGUUCCGCCUGGGGAGUACGCACGCAAGUGUGAAACUCAAAGGAAUUGACGGGGGCCCGCACAAGCGGUGGAGUAUGUGGUUUAAUUCGAUGCAACGCGAAGAACCUUACCAGGGUUUGACAUCCUGCGAAUCUCUUGGAAACUUGAGAGUGCCUUCGGGAGCGCAGUGACAGGUGGUGCAUGGCUGUCGUCAGCUCGUGUCGUGAGAUGUUGGGUUAAGUCCCGCAACGAGCGCAACCCACGUCUUUAGUUGCCAGCAUUUAGUUGGGCACUCUAGAGAGACCGCCGGUGAUAAACCGGAGGAAGGUGUGGAUGACGUCAAGUCAUCAUGCCCCUUACAUCCUGGGCUACACACGUACUACAAUGCUACGGACAAAGGGCAGCAAGUUCGCGAGGACAAGCAAAUCCCAUAAACCGUGGCUCAGUUCAGAUCGUAGGCUGCAACUCGCCUACGUGAAGGAGGAAUCGCUAGUAAUCGCAGGUCAGCAUACUGCGGUGAAUACGUUCCCGGGCCUUGUACACACCGCCCGUCACACCAUGGAAGUUGGCCACGCCCGAAGCCGUUACUCCAACCCUUGUGGAGGAGGACGUCGAAGGUGGGGCUGAUGACUGGGGUGAAGUCGUAACAAGGUAGCCGUACCGGAAGGUGCGGCUGGAUCACCUCCUAA